AGGCAACAACAUCGUCCUCUGCAAGUGCCUGAUUCUGUCAGAUCUUGGAAGCUAAGCAGGGCUGGGCCUGGUUUGUACUUGGUUUGCAGACCACCUUGGAAGACCAGUUUCUC
rnacentral:rRNA from 12 species